rnacentral:tRNA from 2 species
GGGCGAAUAGCUCAGUUGGAAGAGCGCUGCUUUCACAGAGCAGAAGUCGCAGGUUCAAGCCCUGCUUCGCCCA